GGGCAUGUAGCACAGUGGUAGCGCGCUUGCUUUGCACAACUCGUGACUGCAUGAGGUCUUGGGUUCGAUCCCCAACUUGUCCA
rfam:Peniophora sp. CONT PENSPscaffold_323_Cont437, whole genome shotgun sequence.